ensembl:snRNA U6 U6 spliceosomal RNA
GUGCUUGCUUCGGCAGCACAUACACUAAAAUUGGAACGAUACAGAGAAGAUUAGCGUGGCCCCUGCACAAGGAUGACGCACAAAUUCGUGAAGCGUUCCAUAUUUUU